AAAAUGUAAACAACAGGUUAUUUAUUUUAGGUAUAAUGAUCUUAUAAUCGCUGUUCGGAAUAUUAGCUCAAAGCUUUGAAAGCUGUUAAUGAAGAUACCAUUGACACAUAAUUAACAAAAACAAUGAUAAAUAUAGAAAUAUUUUAAAUGAAAUAUAAAUCAAUCGACAAUUGCUGUUAAUAAAAAUAGUAAAUAAAAUAGUAAAUUUAUGAAAUACAUGGUAUAAUCAAUGAAGGGUCUUUGAGGUGGUAAAUAAGGUACAAUAUGUUUGAUUUGAAUCUGUAUUUAUGUAUUAUACUAUGGCUGUCUAAACCAUGAGGAAUUGUCUAUUGUGAUUUUCUUUUAAACUUUGAAAUUGAACAUUUAAAUUUUUGAUUUGAAUGGGUCAAGGGUAUAUUUUCUUGGUCAAAGAUUUAAUAACAGACAACAUAAUUUUAACUUCAUAUUAUACUUCAUGUAAAAUACUGUGUUAAUGUAAACAUACCACAUGUCUCAUUGUGCAAGUCCAACUGCAAGCAAGCUCUGUUAAACAUGUUUGCUACAGUAGGAUCUCAUUGAAAUCUACCAGAUGGAUUAUGCAAUUACAAUUUCUGACAUAACUUGCACUAUCACCACUUCCCUCGCAUAGUCUUCCUUGAUGCAGAUGUAAACGACCGAAGCUGUGUCAUAUACCAUAUAAUAGACAAGAAGCAGACAAGAAGUAGACAACAUCAUUAUAUUCAACUUAAUAUUUAACAGGUAAUUGCAGAUGUACAAUGGUGCAGCAUUGAUGUGUCAGGUGGACAAGAAAUUCAACUUUCGAGGACAUGAUAAAUAAAAGAGACAAUUUCGAUGUCAUACAUUUUGUUCAAAAUAUAUUUUUUUUCUGAGGUUGAGAAUCAGUUGAAAUGAGGGGUAUGGGGAAAUUUAAAGCUUUAGGGGGAAUGUAAUAUUAAUAUUGAUAUUGUGGCAGCAAAUAAAAUUAUUUAUGAAACUAUAUGUAUGUUUUAGGCUUAAUUUCAAAAAGAAAAACUGUAGUUAAAUCAAUAAAAUUUGUUAUUACUGAAAAAAAAAAAAAAUUCGGCUAGUGGUAUAACAUCGUUCUUUAGUAUAGAUUAAGUCGCGUUUUCUACAUAAGAAAAUGCCUGUACCAAGUCAGGAAUAUGACAGUUAUCCAAUCGUUUGAUUGUGUUUGAACUUUUGAUUUUGCCAUUUGAUUUGGACUUUCCUUUCUGAAUUUUCCUCGGAGUUCAGUAUGUUGUUUUUUUAGUUUUUAUAUAACUUUUAAUAUAUCUCAGAUUAGAGGGAUGGUUGAUUUAAUAGGUACGUUGUUACAUUGGGCUUAGUCAUGUCAUUUUCGGUUCCAUGCUUGGAUCAUACUUUUUUCAAUAUUUUAAAUGCUCUUACAUGGUUUAUCGUAUAUGAAAUUCCAAAAUAUUUGACAACUUCCCUUAUAACUUUAACUUUAAAAAUGGAACAUAAAUUGUCAAUAUCAAAAAACUGUAAUGUAAAUGAUUCGCAUAUGUUAAAUUAAAAGUUAUAAACGUGACUUGAAUUUCUACGAAAAAUUUGUUAUAUGCUGUUCCCCAAGGGUGACUGGGGUAUAGAAAUAUGGUCACUUGGUCUUUCUCCCGACCCGGACAGUAAAACGCUUGCUGAAGUGGGCGUCGUUUGGCUGUGCGGGAUGUAUCAAGUUCGCAGGUCACGUCCGUCAGAAGGGGACGUUAAAUCGUAAAUCCGAUGCCUCGUGUAAAGAGAGCGCCACGCUCUUUGCACGUUAAGAACCCUUGCAACACUCUUUGAGGGGUCCGUAGGUGGCCUGUUGCAAGGCAAAAUUUCUGUCCCUAUCCAAUAUACCCUCAUUUUCCAGUGGCAGUCCAAAUGUCCCCGACCAUCAUGGCCUCUAUUACAACAACCUACCUAUUGUAUUUAUUGUGAACUUGUUCUCGUCCUGAAUAUGCAUGAAAUAUUUGCCACUGGACGUUAAGCAACCAACAAUCAAUCAAUCAUGUUAUAUGCUGAACUACAAUUGCCAACUACAAGUACUCAGUCUUAUUUUGAUUUCAGUUAAAGACUUUUUUGAUAAGGAUUAUUAUAAUUCACUGAUUAGUUAUAAAUGGAAUGCAUUUUUUAGGUAUUCAUAAAGAGCAGUCAUCAGUCACCUGGAAGAUAUCAUGAAAAGGAAGAUUGAUGAUCUUGCAGUCAAAAAGCAGAUGUAAUUGAAAGGAAUAAAAUAAAGUUAAAUAGUGAGAUUGUGUUCAAGAAACAAUUAAAACCCAGAAAAAGGGAUUUAAUGUCAGAAGAACUCAACAGGG
rnacentral:lncRNA from 1 species